rnacentral:lncRNA from 1 species
UUCUAGAGACAUUAAAUGGUAUAUGAUUGGAGGCAAAAAAUCAGCACGGUUUGACUUGGAAUAUUCAAAAAUGGCCGCCGUUACCAUGGAAACAGCAAAAAGUAUGAAAAAAUGAAAUUGCUUCAAAUUUAAGGAAACUUAUAACAAUGUUGCCUUAGCUUAUGUAGACUUGACUUUUGAGUUUGGAAUUUUCUAAUGGCGCCGCUCCCUGGCAAUGAGGGGAAGGGUGCAUCCGUUAAUUGCUAGCAAUUCAAUCAGUUAUUAUUAUGUCACCCGAUCGACAAUGUCGGUGACUAUUGCUUUUCCUCUAUUAUUAUUAUUUUUUCUUCCACCUAAUUUUGUCCGGCCAGUCUUUCUCAGAGCCAAGGAACCAAUCUGAAUGAUGGUGACUAAUAAUACAAGGAACCUGACUUUCCAGUUGCAGUGCAACUUUGGAACUAAAAAUGGCUGCCAUCACCAUGGAAACGGAAAAAUGGUGAAGAAAAAUAUAAUUUUGAGAAAGGUGGAAUUGUUUGAAAUGCUUACUAAAUCUUUAGAUUUUAACAAAAAGUAGGUGCCCACUAUAUACUCGCUUUGGGAUGAUUUUGGCAAUCAUUGGAAACUGCUAUGUGCCAUGGAUACUACACCAAAAAUUUCCAAAAUAUGGAAAUGCUCCAAAUUUAUAAAAAUUCAAAAUAGGUAACGUGAGCAACAUUGGAGAGUUGAAUUUGCGUUGGAAUUUGAAAAAUGUCUGCCGUUCCAUGGAAACGAGGUCAAAUGGUCCAAAAACUCGAAAGUGGCAUUUACUUUUAAAAUGGUAGGGUCAAAUUGAUCGAAACUUUUGAUGGUAUGGUCCCUCCCAUGUACCAAUGUGGUAUAUGCCAUUAAAAUUUGGGAAUGGUCUCUGUGCCAUAGAACACCACAAAUGUCAAAAAUUUCUAAAAUUUUCAAAAUUGAUGAACACUUAAUAUGAUUGACACUAUCAAGUCUGCAUGAGACUUUUGCAGUUGAAUUUCCAAAAUGGCUACCGUUGCCAUGGAAAUGGAAAAUGUCAAUAUUUUGAAAUGCUCCAAACUUAAAUGGAACUAAUAUUAUUGUAUAACUGCAUGUAUAGAAUGAGACUUUUGACUUUCAAACUUUUCAAAAUGGCUGCCGUUGCCAUGGAAACAGCAAAAAUGUAUGUUUUAAAAAUGAUCUAGAUUACUGUGAAAUUUACAGAAAAAAAAUGUAUAGCCAUCAAAUAUGUGCAUUCACUGUUAAAAGUUUGGAAAAUGGCUGCCUGCUUAUGUGGCAAAUGGGAAGGAAGGGUGAACANNNNNNNNNNNNNNNNNNNNNNNNNAUAUAUCGUUCACAACUGUUUAACGCGUCGACUGUGAUAUUGCAAACAAGUCGGUUGAUCAUGAUUAGACUAAAUUCAACAAAAAAAAAUCCAGCCAUGUUGAAAUUGUUAAAUAAGAGUUUUUAAAGUCAUUUUGCCAAUGGUGUCUUUCUACCAUGUGCUGUAGGAUUAUUAUUUCGUACUCAUGUCACAUGUUGGAUACAUGCUUUUUUAUCUUCCUUUGUAUAUUAGUUCUUCACCAGUGUGUUUAACGGCUGACUGAACAACGGAAUGCCUUUUUAUAUUCAAAAAAUCAGAGGGAUAGGAAAUGUAAAUAAUGUUUUUUAGUCUAUUGUGCAAUAUUCUUUACCAGUGUGCUUGCUGCUAGGGAAUAAUGUUCUACUCCCUUUAGAUCGUUUGAAAAUGGCAUUUUAUUUCCUUUGUAUAUAUUUCACCAUUGUUUCACAACUAUUUCAAAAAGGUGAAUACAUUAGUUAUAUUCACGAAAUCGAAGAGAUGAAAUGUAAAUAAUGUUUGUAGUUCAUUUUCCAAUGUUUUCUUUACCAUGUGCUGGUAGGGGAUCUAUCUUUCUACUUACCUUAGAUUGAAAAUAAUGUUUUUGAUUUCCUCUUUAUAUCGUGCACGAUGUUUUUAACGACUGAUUGCACAAUGUCAAUCGAUUCUGUAUUCACAGAAUCCAGGAUUGAAGAUUAAAAUAGAUGUUUUUAUUCAUCUUCCAAUGUUUCUUUAACCAUGUGUGUCUGGUAGGAUCUAUUCUUCGUACUUACCUUAGAUGAAAUAAUUGUUUUUGAUUCCUUUGUAUAUUCUGCACGAGUUGUUUUAACGGACUGAUUGCACAAAGUUCAAUGCAUUCUUGUAUUCAACAGAAUCCAGGAUUGAAAUGUAAAUAAUGUUUUCCAGUUCAAUUUCCAAUAUCUUUGACCAUCUGCUGGUCAGAGAUCUAGCAUGUUCAUACUCAUCUAAUUAAACAACCCACGUUUAUUUCUUUUGUAUUCGUUCACCGUUGUUUUAACGGCUUGGACUUGAAGCAAGUAAAUUUAUUGUGAUAUUGUCAACAAAAUCGGAGGAUUGAACUGUAAAUGUUGUUUUUUAAGUUCCAUUAUUCCAAUAUAUUUACUAUGCUGCUGAUUAGGAUCAUCCUUUCCGCUACUUCACCUUAGAUGUUGAAAUUUCGUUUUUAGUUUCCUUUGUAAUAGGCUCGCCCUGUUUUAACGGCCUGAUUGAACACUAAAUAGUAUAUUAGUUAUAUUCACAAAAUCGAGGAUUGAAAUGUAAUUAAUGUUUUAAGUUCAUUUUCCAAUGUCUUAACAUGUGCUGGUAGGAUCUAGCCUUCGUUCUCACCUUAGAGUUGAAAAUGCAUUUUUAUUUACUUUGGAUAUAUUUCACCAUUGUUUUCACAGAUAUGUUGAACAAGUGAAAUACAUAGUUAUAUUCACCAAAAUCGACAGAUUGAAAUGUAAUAAUGUUUUUAAGUUCAUUUUCCAAUGUUUUUCUUUACAUGUGCUGUAGGACUAUUGCUUUCUACUUACCUUAGAUGAAAAUAAUUAAUUUUAAUUUUCUUUGUAUAUCGUUCACAAUGUUUUAACGCUGAUUUGCAACAAGUUGAAUGCAUUCUAAUAUCAACAAAAUCCAGCAUGUGAAAUGUAAAUAAUGUUUUUAAGUUCAUUUGCCAAUUGUUCUUUACCAAUGUGCUGGUAGGAUCUAUUUAUUUCUACUCAUGUUUCACAUGUAUGAAUGCUUUUUUAUUUCCUUUGUAUAUAGUCACCAGUGUUUACGGCUGACUGCAAAAGGUGAAUGCUUGUUAUAUUCAAAAAAAUCGAGGAUAGAAAUGAAAUAAUGUUUUCUAGUUCUAUUUGCAAUAAUCUUUACCAGUGGUGCUAGGAUAUAUCUGUUCGUACUUCACCUUAGAUGUUGAAAAUGCAUUUUUAUUCCUUUGCUAUAUAUUUCACCAUUGUUUCAGCAACUAUUUCAAAAAGUGAAUUACAUGAGUUAUAUCACGAAAUCGAAGAUUGAAAUGUAAAUAAUGUUUUUUAGUUCAGUUUUCCAAUGUUUGUCUUUACCAUGUCUGGUAGAUCUAUUCUUUCUACUUACCUUAGAUGAAAUAAUGUUUUUGAUCUUCUAUUAUCGUGCACGAUGUUUUAACGACUGAUUGCACAAUCUGUCAGAUUGCAUUCUGUGUAUCACAGAAUCAGGAUUGAAAUGUAAAUAAUGUUUUUCAGUUCAUUUUCCCAAUAUCUUUACCAUCUGCUGAUCAGGAUCUGAGCUUUCGUAACUCGAUCUUAGAUGUAAACAACGUUUUAUUUUCUUUUUUAUUUCGUUCACCGUGUUUUAACGGACUGCACCUGAACAAUUAAUUUAUUGUGAUAUUCACAAAAUCGAGGUAUUUGAACUGUAAAUGUUGUUUUUAAGCUCAUUUCCAAUAUAUUUACUAUGUGUAUUAGGAUCUAUCCUUUCGUACUCACCUUGACAUGUUGAUAAUUCGUUUUUAUUCCUUUGUAUAUAGCUCGCCCUGUUUAACGGCUUGAGUGAACACGUAAAAAUAGUAUAUAUAGUUAUAUUCAACAAAAUCGAGGAUUGAAAAUGUAAAUAGAUGUUUUUCAGUUCAUUUCCAAUGUCUUUACCAGUGUGCUCUAGGGAUCAAUCUUUUCGUACUCACCUUAGAUGUUUAAAUGCCGUUUUAAUUUCCUUGCGUUCAUUAGUUCAUCAUUGUUAAACAAGUGAAUUUCAUAGUUAUAUUCACAGAAUCGAGGAUUAAUAAAUGUAAAGAGUUUUUUUAGUUCAAUUUUUCCAAUGUCUUUCACCAUGUGCUGGUAGGGAUUUAGUUUCCUACUCAUCUUAGAUAUUAUUAUUUUAUUCCUUUUUAUAUUGUUAAAAUGUUAACUCGCAAAAAUUACAAAAAACAAAAACCAAAAAAACCAUCUUAAUUUUUCGUUAUAAGAGGGCAACCUCUUGAAAGUUAUUGAAAUGUUGCAGGUGGGGCCCUGAGUUACCAAACAGUACUUGGCAAUUUCAAAAACGCUACCAUUACCAUGCAAGAAACUUGGGAAGAUCCUAUGGAUAAAAGACAUUAAAGUAAGCAGUUUUAGUGGCAAUGUGGGAAGGGUGACCAUCCGCUAUUGCUUUUGCAAUGGCAAUCUAAGUAUUAUUUUAGUUCUUCCACACUUUUGUCCAUUCUAUUUCUCAGAAUUGUGCAUGACCAGUAUUUGAUGGAUGUAGCCAUAAUAGUUGAAGACCGACACAUGUUAAUAUAGUGCAGUGAGAGCAUGAAUGGUAACCCUGUUCCAUGGACAACGAAACAUAUUGUGAAAAAUCCAGUUUUGUUUUGUGAACUGUUUGGAUAUGUUGAAAAAAAAAAGCUUCCAAAGAUCCCAUUAUUUAAUUUUUAUACAAUGUAGGUGCCCACUAUAUACAGGUGUUGGAUGAUUUUGGUACUCAUUGGAACUACUAUGUUGCCAUGGAAACUGCACCAAAAAUUUCAAAAGUAUCAAAAUGCUCAAAACUUAAUGAAACUUCACAGUAACGAUGAGCAACAUUGAAACAUGUGGAAUUUGGCGUUGGAAUUUCCAAAAUAUCUGUUGUUACCAUUGAAACAAUGCAAAAAGGUCAAAACUUUGAAUUUUCACAGAACAUUCCAGAACAUCAAUGUUAAAUUUAUUCUAGAGACUUAAAUGGUAUAUGAUUUGUAUUAGGAUUCAUGGAGGGGAAAGAAGUUGCAGGGGUUUGACUUUGGAUUCAAAAUGGCCGCCGUUACCAUGAAGAACAGCAUAAAUUCCGAAAUUUAAAAUGCCUCCUAAAUUAAUGAAACUUAUAAAAAAUGAUAUUGUGCUUGAAUGUAGACAUUACUUUGUGAAUCAGCGCCUCCUGGAAAACAAAUUUUAAAUGGCUGCCGCCUGGCUUGCAAUUGGGGGAAGGUGCCAUCCCUAUUGCUUGCCAAUGGCAAAUCUAGUUAAUUGCACCCUCAACGCAGUUGGUCUACAUAUUGUUAUUCUACAGUUUCUUUUUUUUUAUUAAUGUCACCCGAUCACCAAAUUGUCUGAGUACCAUAUUGCUUGCUGGCAAUUCUUAGUUUAUUAUCUUCCACCUAUUUGGUCCGCAGGUUUUGUAGUAAAUGAACCAAUCCUUAAUGAUAAUUCACUAUAAGGGGAAACAAAGAAAUUUCGUGCCAGGUGGGUCUAAGACCAUAAAAAUGGCUUGCGUUCCAUGAAACGAAAUAAUUGUGAAAAAUUCCAGCUUUUGGUUUUACGUGAAUAAUUUGAGAUCUUAAACUCAGAUAUCAUAGUAUCUGUAUCAACAAUGUAGGUGCCAGUCAUGUAAUGGUUGGAUGAUUUGGCAAUUCAUUGGAAACAUACAUGUUGCCAUGGAAAUUACCCCAAAAAUUUUACCAAAAAUUCAAAAUGCUCCAAAAUUUUUUGAACGUUCAUUAGACGAUGAGCAACAUUGUCGAUGUGGCGUUAAUUUGGGCGUGGAAUUUCAAAUGUCUACUUUACCAUGAAAACAGGCAUAAGUGUCAAAAAUGCCUCUAAAAAAACUUCAGAGUUUGGUGAAAUAACUUGGUAUGCUAGAAUGUGAAAUCAAUCAAAUUUAUUUACACAAGUAUAUUUCCACAUAUAUACCAGGUUUGAUGAUUUUGACAAUCAUUGGAACUCUUACUUACAUGGAUACAGGAUCAAAAUAUUCAAAAAUUUCAAAAUGCUCUAAAAAUUGAUGCAAACUGUAAUCAUAUUGUUGCACUGCAAAGUCUGGAUUGAGACUUUUGACUUUGAAUUCCAAAAUGGCCCCUUUGCCAUGCGAAACUGCCAAAAAAGUCAAAAAUUCUCAAAAAUGGCUUGAACUUUAAUGAAACUUGAUAGUUAUUUUAACUGGCAAGUAAAGAUGAGACUUUUGACGUUUAGAAAUUUCAAAAUGGGUGCCGUUGCCAUGGAAAACAGAUAGAAAUGUUGAUAUUUUUUAAAAUGCUCUGAUUCAAUGAAAACUGAAAAUUUACCAGAAAGAUGUAUUCCAUUGCCAUUGAUAUAGUGCAUUCACUGUUAAACCAUUUUGGAAAUGCUGCCGUUAGUGGCAAUAGGGGGAAGGGUGACAUCGCGCUAUUGCUUGCAAUGGCAAUUCUAGUUAUGGCACCCUCAACGGAGUUGGGGUGACGUAUUGUUAUUGUACGUUUCUUUUUUUCCUUAUUAUGGCACCCUCAACGGAGUUGGGGUGACAUAUUGUUAUUCUACGUUUCUUUUUUUUCUUAUUUUUCUUCCACACAUUUUUCCGCGCGAGUUCUUGGAAUUCCAAGGACCACAUGUUGAUGGAACUCUCUAUAAUGAGGCACCCCCAUGUGAAGUGUGCACGCUUGCUAAUGAGAAUGUAAAAAAUGCGCCAUUUCCAGAAAACAAUCACAAAUGCGAAAAAAAUCAAAAGUGUUCCAAACUGGAAAAAACUCCUUCAGAAUGUUAACUGCAUGUGCUUUUGUCAAGUUGACUUUGGAAUUUUCAAAUGGCCGCCGUUACCAUGGAAACAGCUAAAAUAUUCAAAAAUUCUAACUCUUUCAUUAUAACAUCCAACUGGAUAAACUUUAUGAAAAUGUUUCCAUAUGCCAAGAUGCAAAGACAAUAUAUGGAUAGUUCAAAAUGCCGCCGUUGUCAUGGAAACUGGGGCCAAGUUUUGCAUUACCUAUGGAAAAAUGCAUAAAAUCAGCUUUCUCAAAGAGUAGUGCACCAAAGUAAUGAAAAACUGUAUUGAUAUAUAACAUGACAUGUGCAAAUGAGAUGUACGCUUUUAGAAUUUGGAAUUAUCUACUGUAACAUGAUAAUGCAGGACAUAAAAUUAAAAAAAGUGCUGCAUAACUGGAUGAAACUUUACAGGAAUAGUGACUGACAUGUGCGGAGUUGCAUUUUGAAGUUGGAAUUUUCCAAAAUGGCCGCCGUAACAAUGUGAAACAGAAAUAUGUCCAAAAUUUCAAAAUAGCCUCCAAACUUAAUGAAAUUUUAAAAAUGAUGACUUGCAGAGUGAUAGAUGCUCUCUUUGACUUUGAGAAUAUUCCAAAAGUGGCUGCGCCGCCGUCAAUGGGGGACGAGGUGCCAUCGAUAUUGCUAGCAGAUUACAAAUCUUAUAUUGUAUUUUCUGCAACAAAUUUUGUCCAGGUAUUUCUCGGAAAUCCAAUGGACCAAUGUUGAUGGAACUCUACUAUAGUAAGGACCCCCAGGUGCAGAGUUGCAGGAAGCAUGGAAUGGUUCAAGAUGGCUACCGUUACCAUGGAAACAGAACAAAUGUGAAAAAAUCCAGUUUUUUGUUUUGGUGAACUGUUUGGAUAUGCUUUAUCUCAGAAUCAUUAUAUUUUAAUACAAUGUAGGUGCCCACUAUAUACAGGUGUUGGAUGAUUUUGGUGAUCAUUGGAACUACUAUGUUGCCAUGGAAACUACACCAAAAAUUUCGAAAUUCUCAAAAUGCUCCAAACUUCAGGAAACUUCACAGUAACGAUGAGCAACAUUGGAAGAUGUGGAAUUUGGCGUUGGAAUUUCCAAAAUAUCUGUUGUUACCUUGGAAACAAUGCAAAAAGGUCAAAACUUUGAAUUUUCACAGAACAUUCCAGAACAUUAAUGUUAAAUUUAGUCUAGAGACAUUAAAUGGUAUAUUAUUAUGGAGGGCAAAAAAUGCAGCAUGGGUUUGACUUUGGAAUAUUCAAAAUGGCCGCCGUUACCAUGGAAACAGCAAAAAUAUGAAAAACUUCAAAAUGCUUCAAAUUUAAGGAAACUUAUAACAAAUGUUGCCUAGCUUAUGUAGACUUGACUUUUGAGUUUGGAAUUUUCUAAAUGGCCGCCGCUCACCUGGCAAUAGGGGAAGGGUGCCAUCCGUUAUUGCUAGCAAUUACAAAUCUAGUUAUUAUUGUCACCCGAUCGACAAUGUCGGGUGACAUAUUGCUUUUCCUCUGUUUCUUUAUUAUUAUUAUUAUUUUUCUUCCACCUAAUUUUGUCCGGCAGUUUUCUCAGAGCCAAAGGAACCAAUCUGAAUGAUAGUGCACUAUAACAAGGAACCCUGACUUUCCUGUUGCAGUUUCAACUUUGGAACUAAAAAAAUGGCUGCCAUCACCAUGGAAACGAAAAAUGGUGAAAAAAUAUAAUUUUGGAGUUAGGUGAAUUGUUUGAGAAUGCUUAACCUUAAAAUCUUUAGAUUUUAAUACAAUGUAGGUGCCCACUAUAUACUGGUUUUGGGAUGAUUUUGGCAAUCAUUGGAACUGCUAUGUUGCCAUGGAUACUACACCAAAAAUUUCCAAAAUAUGGAAAUGCUCCAAAUUUAAUGAAACUUCACAGUAACGAUGAGCAACAUUGGUAGAUGUGGAAUUUGGCGUUGGAAUUUCCAAAAUGUCUGCCGUUUCCAUGGAAACAAUGCAAAAAAAAAUGGUCCAAAAACACUUAAAGUGGCAUUUACUUUCUUAAAAGGGUAGGUCAAAUCCAUUGAAACUUUGAUGGUAUGUCCCUCCCAUGUACCAAUGUGGUAUAUGCCAUUAGAAUUUUGGAAUGGUCUCUGUUGCCAUAGAAACCAGCAAAAUGUCAAAAAAUUUCAAAAAUUUCAAAAUGCUCCAAAAUUGAUGAAACUUAAUAUGAUUGUUGACUGUCAAGUCUGCAUGAGACUUUUGAAGUUGGAAUUUCCAAAAUGGCCACCGUUGCCAUGGAAACUGCAAAAAUGUCAAAUAUUUUCAAAAUGCUCCAAACUUAAUGAAACUUAAUAUUAUUGUAAACUGGCAUGUAUAGAUGAGACUUUUGACUUUGAAAUUUUCAAAAUGGCUGCCGUUGCCAUGGAAACAGCAAAAAAUGUGAAAUUUUUAAAAAUGCUCUGAAUGUACUGAAAAUUUACAGAAAAAUGUAUAGCCAUGCAAAUAUGUGCAUUCACUGUUAAACAAUUUUGAAAUGGCUGCCGCUUAGUGGCAAUGGGGGAAGGGUGACAUCCGCUAUUGCUUGCAAUGGCAAUUCUAGUUAUUAUUAUUUUCUUCCACCUAAUUUUGUCCGGCAGUUUUCUCAGAGCCAAAGGAACCAAUCUGAAUGAUGGUGCACUAUAACAAGGAACCCUGACUUUCCAGUUGCAGUGCAACUUUGGAACUAAAAAAUGGCUGCCAUCACCAUGGAAACGAAAAAUAAUGGAAAAAAUUCCAGUUUUUGGUUUUGGUGAAUUAUUUGGAAAUGCUUUAAACUUAGAAUCAUUAUAUUUUGAUACAAUGUAGGUGCCGGGCUAUAUACUGGUUUUGGAUGAUUUUGGCAAUCAUUGGAACUACUAUGUUGCCAUGGAUACUACACCAAAAAUUUCAAAAAUAUGGAAAUGCUCCAAAUUUUAUAAAACUUCACAGUAACGAUGAGCAACAUUGGUAGAUGUGGAAUUUGGCGUUGGAAUUUCCAAAAUGUCUGCCGUUACCAUGGAAACAAUGCAAAAAGGUCAAAAUGGUCCAAAAACCUUAAGUGGCAUUUACUUUCUUAAAAUGGUAGGUCAAAUUGAUUGAAACUUUGAUGGUAUGGUCCCUCCCAUACAUGUACCAAUGUGGUAUCUGCCAUUAAUUUUGGAAUGGUCUCUGUUGCCAUAGGAACCAGCCCAAAAUGUCAAAAAUUUCAAAAAUUUCAAAAUGCUCCAAAAUUGAUGAAACUUAAUAUGAUUGUUGACUGUCAAGUCUGCAUGAGACUUUUGAAGUUGGAAUUUCCAAAAUGGCCACCGUUGCCAUGGAAACUGCAAAAUGUCAAAUAUUUUCAAAAUGCUCCAAACUUAAUGAAACUUAAUAUUAUUGUUAACUGGCAUGUAUAGAUGAGACUUUUGACUUUGGAAAUUUUCAAAAUGGCUGCCGUUGCCAUGGAAACAGCAAAAAUGUGAAAUUUUCUAAAAUGCUCUGAAUGUACUGAAAAUUUACAGAAAGAUGUAUUGCCAAUGCAUAUAUAUGUGCAUUCACUGUUAAACAAUUUUGAAAUGGCUGCCGCUUAGUGGCAAUGGGGGAAGGGUGACAUCCGCUAUUGCUUGCAAUGGCAAUUGUUAUGGCAAGGAGUUAUAUUGUUAUUAUGUCACCCGAUCGACAAUGUCGGGUGACAUAUUGCUUUUCCUCUGUUUCUUUUUCCAUUACCCGAUCGACAAUUCGGGUGACAUAUUGCUUUUCCUCUGUUUCUUUUUCCAUUAUUAUUAUUAUUUUUCUUCUUCACCUAAUUUUGUCCGGCAGUUUUCUCAGAGCCAAAGGAACCAAUCUGAAUGAUGGUGCACUAUAACAAGGAACCCUGACUUUCCAGUUGCUUUGGUAUUGGAACUAAAAAAAUGGCUGCCGUUCACCAUGGAAACGGAAAAAUGGUGAAAAAAAUUAAUUUUGGAGUUUGGUGAAUUGUUUGAGAAUGCUUAAACUUAGAAUCAUUAUAUUUUAAUACAAUGUAGGUGCCCACUAUAUACUGGUUUUGGGAUGAUUUUGGCAAUCAUUGGAACUGCUAUGUUGCCAUGGAUAACUACACCAAAAAUUUCCAAAAAUAUGGAAAAUGCUCCAAAUUUUAAAACUUCACAGUAACGAUGAGCAACAUUGGUAGAUGUGGAAUUUGGCGUUGGAAUUUCCAAAAUGUCUGCCGUUACCAUGGAAACAAUGCAAAAAGGUCAAAAUGCUCAAAAACCUUAAAGUGGCAUUUACUUUCUUAAAAUGGUAGGUCAAAUUGAUUGAAACUUUGAUGGUAUGGUCCCUCCCAUGUACCAAUGUGGUAUAUGCCAUUCAAUUUUGGAAUGGUCUCUGUUACCAUAGGAACCAUCCAAAAUGUCAAAAAUUUCAAAAAUUUCAAAAUGCUCCAAAUUGAUGAAACUUAAUAUGAUUGUUGACUGUCAAGUCUGGAUGAGACUUUUGAAGUUGGAAUUUCCAAAAUGGCCACCGUUGCCAUGGAAACUGCAAAAAUGUCAAAUAAUUUUCAAAAUGCUCCAAACUUAAUGAAACUUAAUAUUAUUGUUAACUGGCAUGUAUAGAUGAGACUUUUGACUUUGGAAUUUUCAAAAUGGCUGCCGUUGCCAUGGAAACAGCAAAAAUGUGAAAUUUUAAAAUGCUCUGAAUGUACUGAAAAUUUACAGAAAGAUGUAUUGCAAUGCAUAUAUGUGCAUUCACUGUUAAACAAUUUUGAAAUGGCUGCCGCUUAGUGGCAAUGGGGGGGAAGGGUGACAUCCGCUAUUGCUUGCAAUGGCAAUUCUAGUUAUUAUUAUUUUUCUUCCACCUAAUUUUGUCCGCCAGUUUUCUCAGAGCCAAAGGAACCAAUCUGAAUGAUGGUGCACUAUAACAAGGAACCCUGACUUUCCAGUUGCAGUGCAACUUUGGAACUAAAAAAUGGCUGCCAUCACCAUGGAAACGGAAAAAUGGUGAAAAAAUUUUUGGGUUUUGGUGAAUUAUUUGAGAAUGCUUAACUUAGAAUCAUUAUAUUUUAAUACAAUGUAGGUGCCCACUAUAUACUGGUUUGGGAUGAUUUUGGCAAUCAUUGGAACUGCUAUGUUGCCAUGGAUACUACACCAAAAAUUUCCAAAAUAUGGAAAUGCUCCAAAUUUUAUAAAACUUCACAGUAACGAUGAGCAACAUUGGUAGAUGUGGAAUUUGGCGUUGGAAUUUUGAAAAUGUCUGCCGUUACCAUGGAAACAAUGCAAAACAGGUCAAAAUGGUCCAAAAAACCUUAAAGUGGCAUUUACUUUCUUAAAAUGGUAGGUCAAAUUUAACGAAACUUUGAUGGUAUGGUCCCUCCCAUGUACCAAUGUGGUAUAUGCCAUUAAAUUUUGGGAAUGGUCUCUGUUGCCAUAGGAACCAUCACAAAUGUCAAAAUUUUCAAAAAUUUCAAAAUGCUCCAAAAUUGAUGAAACUUAAUAUGUUUGUAGACUGUCAAGUCUGGAUGAGACUUUUGAAGUUGGAAUUUCCAAAAUGGCCACCGUUGCCAUGGAAACUGCAAAAAUGUCAAAUAUUUUCAAAAUGCUUUGAAACUUUAAUGAAACUUGAAUAUUAUUGUUAACUGGCAAGUAUAGAUGAGACUUUUGACUUUGAAAUUUCAAAAUGGCUGCCGUUGCCAUGGAAACAGCAAAAAUGUGAAAUUUUCUAAAAUGCUCUGAAUGUACUGAAAAUUUACAGAAAGAUGUAUUGCCAUGCAAAUAUGUGCAUUCACUGUUAAAAGAUUUUGAAAUGGCUGCCGCUUAGUGGCAAUGGGGGGAAGGGUGACAUCCGCUAUUGCUUGCAAUGGCAAAUCUAGUUAUUAUUUAUUCUUCCACACUUUUUUGUCCAUGCUAUUUCUCGGAAUUGGCUUGAACAAUAUUGAUGGAAACUAUGCCAUAAUGUAGACCACCACAUAUGAAAUUGUGCAAACGGGGUAUGGCAUCAUCAAGAUGGCUGCCGUUGCCAUGGAAACGAAACAAAUGUGAAAAAAUCCAGUUUUUUGUUUUGGUGAACUGUUUGGUAAUGCUUUAACUCAGAAUCAUUAUAUUUUAAUACAAUGUAGGUGCCCACUAUAUACAGGUGUUGGAUGAUUUUGGCACUCAUUGGAACUACUAUGUUGCCAUGGAAACUACACCAAAAAAUUUCAAAAAUCUCAAAAAUGCUCCAAACUUCAUGAAACUUCACAGUAACGAUGAGCAACAUUGGAAGAUGUGGAAUUUGGCGUUGGAAUUUCCAAAAUAUCUGUUGUUACCAUGGAAACAAUGCAAAAAGGUCAAAACUUUGAAUUUUCACAGAACAUUCCAGAACAUCAAUGUUUAAAUUUAUUUCUAGAGACAUUAAAUGGUAUAUGAUUAUGGAGGGAAAAAAUUGCAGCGGGGGUUUGACUUUGGAAUAUUCAAAAUGGCCGCCGUUACCAUGGAAACAGCAAAAAUACAAAAAACUUCAAAAUGCUUCAAAUUUAUUGAAACUUAUAACAAAUGUUGCUCAGCUAAUGUAGACUUGACUUUUGAGUUUGGAAUUUCCAAAAUGGCCGCCAUUACCAUGGCUACCGCUCACCUGGCAAUAGGGGAAGGGUGCCAUCCGCUAUUGCUUGCAAUCGCAAAUCUAGUUAUGGCACCCUCAACGGAGUUGGGGUGACGUAUUGUUAUUCUACGUUUCUUUUUUUUCUUAUUAUUAUUUUUCUUGCAACACAUUUUGUCCAGGCGAUUUCUCGAAAUCCAAAACACCAAAGUUGAUGGAACUUUACUAUAAUAAGGACCCACAUGUGCAGAGUUGCAGGAAGCAUGGAAUGGUUCAAGAUGGCUGCCGUUACCAUGGAAACGAAACAAAUGUGAAAAAAUCCAGUUUUUUGUUUUGGUGAACUGUUUGGAUAUGCUUUAACUCAGAAUCAUUAUAUUUUGAAUACAAUGUAGGUGCCCACUAUAUACAGGUGUUGGAUGAUUUUGGCACUCAUUGGAACUACUAUGUUGCCAUGGAAACUACACCAAAAAUUUCAAAAAUAUCAAAAUGCUCCAAACUUCAUGAAACUUCACAGUAACGAUGAGCAACAUUGGAAGAUGUGGAAUUUGGCGUUGGAAUUUCCAAAAUAUCUGUUGUUACCAUGGAAACAAUGCAAAAAGGUCAAAACUUUGAAUUUUCACAGAACAUUCCAGAACAUCAAUGUUAAAUUUAUUCUAGAGACAUUAAAUGGUAUAUGAUUAUGGAGGGCAAAAAAUUGCAGCGGGGGUUUGACUUUGGAAUAUUCAAAAUGGCCGCCGUUACCAUGGAAACAGCAAA